AAAGUUGGGAAUUCGAGGGCCUUUCUAAGUUGGACAAGACAAUUCACACUGAGUACAAAUCGUACUGACUUUGAAUAGACCAUCUUAUGCAGAUAUGGAUCCCGAGAUCUCCAUGGAUCAUUAAGUGAAUUCUGCGAAACAACAACAGAGUUCAGCUCCAAUGCUUUUGUUUCCGCACGCAGUCAACACUACAUGCUUCAAUCUCCUCCGUUCGCUGCUCAAGUUUGUGAUCUAGACGCCUUCAAAAGAGUCAAAGAUUCGCACGUUCAAAGACCUGUCUAAGAUUUAAGGACGUCCUAACUACAGAGACGGAAAUGAAAGGCUUAAAUACGGCUGGAGCACCAGUAAAAAGCGGGUCAGAGAAAAACAACGGCGUAAGACCUUCGUUGCUGUCCUACAUACCACUGGGCGUAAAGAUCGGUGAACAUUCAUGGCAUACUGCACUGAUCGCCACGAACAGAGGCUUCGAAAAGAAACGUCUUCGUGGCAACUACAGUAUCAACGUAACGGUGGUCUAAUGUCAGGAUGGAUAGAUUAAUUCCAUUUAUCAACCACAGUGAAAAAAACUCUGCAGAGGAGUUCAAUCAAUGGGAAAUUUGCAGUUACGAACCAAAGUAGAAAUUAGGAUAGCAGUAGAACCGCCUAUACACCGAAAGUAAGAUGGACAUGUCUGUCUUAUUGGUUGUUCUCCUCCUCAUGAGAAAUAGAAGACAACGAAGGACUACAAUAUGCUUCAUAUAUUUAAUUUUGAGGAUAUGCUUGGAAUUAGCUGCCAUUCAGGACUAUGUUCCUGAUGUUCUUUAAAAAAAAUUAAUUUUUAUAUGUCAAAAAAUCUGAAACAAUAAAGGGAGAGACCAAAAUAAUGUCGAAAAAUUUAAAUAAAAAUCGUUUAACCAUAACUAUUUAUUGAG